CCUAAUACAUGCAAGUCGAGCGAACUUGAUGGGAGCUUGCUCCCUGAGAGAUUGCGGCGGACGGGUUAGUGACACGUGGGUAACCCGCCUGGAAGAAUGGGAAAACCCCGGGAAACCGGGGCUAAUACCGGAUAACUUUUUUCUUCCCAUUAAAGAAAAAUGAAAGGCGGCUUUAAGCUACCACUUACAGAUGGACCCGCGGCCCAUUAGCUAGUGGGUGAGGUAACGGCUCACCAGGGCGACAAUGCGUAGCCGACUUGAGAGGGUGAUCGGCC
rnacentral:rRNA from 1 species